AUCAGCAGUACAUAUACAUUUACGUAAUUUCUUUAGACAAGCUGGCGGUGAUAAGACGUGAGGUAAUUAUUCAUCGUUUAUACGUUUAUCUAUACUUUAUAUACCACAAAUAUGUAUAUUAAGAUAAGUUUGUUACAAUACGAUCAUAUUUUUUCCUUUGCGUUAUAUCUUGCAGCUUUAGUAAUUAGUUUAUUUUUGCUGACAGACAUAUGUACGGUGAGACAAAACGAUGAGCGCAUCGACGUCGAAUUCUUCAGAGAUGAUUGUUUAUAUCUGUGUCCUUUUUGUACAAUAGAGUACAGAAUACAUCCUGUGUCGAAAUAAUGCAAAAUACAUUCAAGCUGCGAACACACUGAUGUGAAGAACCCUUUCCAGAGAAAUAUAGAAAGAAAUGACUGUGAAGCUUGUGUUGGGGAGGAUUCAGUGUCUGUUGUGGCCCAUGUGAAUGUGUUAAAAAGUGAGUAUCAGAAACGCAUCCAGACACAUGGACGGUCAAAGACCACAUGGCAGGAACAUUCUCCUGGAGAUGCUGAGAAAGCACAGAAGGAAUGUCUGAGGAGGAUGUACUCAAAAAAUACACAUACUUAAGGACACCUGCUGGAGGGGACCCGGCUACACCUUUCCUACCAUACAGCUGAUGGAUACUGACUGUAAAAUGUCAAUCAUAGUUCGAGGGCUCCGUGUGAUGACAGAAGAUGGAACAGAUGUGUGUAAGUGCACCAGCAUUGAUGAAGCCUUCAUAACAGCCUUCUGGAUGUAUUCUGUUUUCAACAUUGCAUAUCCACCACACCUGAGAAAGACACUGACUUUCCUUCAGAGGCACAUUGUCAACAUUAGAAGAUGGAGUUAAACACUGUCAGUAACUUUACUCUGAAUGAUCAGCCUCUUGUAUUAGAUCCUCAUGUCUUGACUGUACCAUUGCCCAAAGUGCACUCGAAGGACAUUCACUCUUUUGAAGUUAACCCAACAUGUUGGAGUGGUACAUGAACAUUAACCAAAUAGCUUGCUCUAUUCUUUUUCUAUUCUAUCUGUUUUCUUUUUAUU